UAUGUGACUGAGGGGCAUGGAUGUGGGGGGCUUGGGCAGUGCUUAAUUUGUAAUGAAAGAGGUGCCGGGGUUCAAGCAAAUGUUUUUACUUUAAUUACUGACACGGCAGGCCCAGAAGUGCCGUGCCGGGGCUUUGAACUGCCAGGCCCGGAAGUGCCGUGCCGGGGCUCUGAACUGCCAGGCCUGGAGGUGCCGGGGCUCAGCCCUGGCACAGAUUACGCCCUGGACUUGGGUAGUGGGGUUGAUAGAUUCAUAGAUUCCAAGGCCAGGAGAGACCAUUGUAAUCAUCUCAUCUGACCUCCUGUAUUGCACCAGCCAGAGAACUUCCCCCAAAGAAUUCCUAGAGCAGAUCUUUUAGCAAAAGCCUCCAGUCUUGAUUUUAAAAUUCUCAUUGGUGGAGAAUCCGCCAGUGAAUUGCGCCAGUGGUUAGUUACUCCUGUAGGCCCGGCUUGAACAUGAGUCAUUAGGGAGGUUUUAAUUUUUGGAAGACAGGGAGGUAAAUAGAUCAGUAGACUGGAAACUGACUGUCUGGGCUAAAAUAAGUAAAUGGGUCAAUAAGGGCAAGUCUAUACACUACAGAAUGACUUCGGUGUAACUACGUUGUCCUGGGGUGUGAAUAAUUCAUGCCCUGAGUUAUAUACCAACCUAAUCGCCGGUGUAGACAGUACUGUGUUGGCAGGAGAGCUUCUCCUGCCAACAUCAUUACCGCCUUUCACGGAGGUGGAUUAACUAAGCCAACAGGAGAGCUUUCUCCCAUCAGCAUAGAGCGUCUUCAUUAAAGCACUACGGGGUGCGGGACAGCAGUUUAAGUGUAGACCUGCUCUAAGCUAAAAGACAGAAUGUCUGAGCUAGUUAAGAUAAGAGGGAGAACACCCAGGGAAACAUUUACUCAAAACAAGAUAAUGCAAGGAGUGCCAAGACAGGUAAAGAGGAAAGUUGACUGUGGACAGAGCAUGCCGCACGUGGAUUGGUCUUUGCAAAGUAACCAAGCCAAUUCUACAGCAUGUAAUGCAAUGUAUAGGGAAUGUAAUGUGAUGUGUAAGUGUAUGUAAAGAAGGUGGGGGGGUUGUGUAACUUCAGAUGCGUGGUAUACCCAGUACCCAUGUUUGAGUUUGAUUAACUUGGCAUAGCUUUAUGCCAAAUAAAGAAACCUGAGUGAUGAGACUGGAGUUGAACUGAGUUCUUGGGGAAUUGAGUGGAAGAGGUUUAGAAGGCUUCUCCAACAUAGUGGUGCAGUGCCUCGGAUCGGAUCUAUUCAUCUGGGGCAGGUAAGGUAUCGUUUAUUAUAUGUCUAGCUUUACUGUCAAGGAUCGCAACCCAGCACUUUAGCAAUGGCAUUGGUAGGGCUUAAAUUUGAAGAGGUUUCUGGGGCAUUGGGGAACUAAGUUAAAUCCAAAGGGGGACCCUCUAGACUCCCAGAUAGGUAUUAGGGAGAAACUGGGUCUGGGUGGAAAAAGAACGUCAAUAAAUAGUGCUAAAUAACAAAUGCAAUCAAAAAAAUGCAAAACCCCUUGUUAUUGCAGAGAGUAACCCUAAAAAUAGCCCAGCGUAGAGAAGUAAAAGAAUUAACCAUUAUGUUAAAAAUGUUGAGGAAGUAAAGAAUGGGCAGAAAGAGCAAAAAAGAGAUCUAUAAAGUGCAUGCCAUGCCACCUGGCAAAGCAGUUUUAAAAUAAAAUAAAAGUGGUAAAAAUAUUUGAAAGGUACUUUAUAGACAAAUGUAAAAGAAUGCCGGGCAGAGCACAGCAGAAGUCUGUUGAGUGCCACUAACAUGUUAAAAGAUAGGACCCAUUUGCAGCCAUAAAAAAUAGUAUCUUCUUGGUUUUUUCGUAAAGCAAAAAAAAUAUACAAUAAAAAAGCCCAAAUCAAGGCUGCAGUUUCACAAGGAUUAUUUCUAGCGGCUAAAACGUCACAAACAACAAGGUGCCACCUUACCAAGUAGAUGCAAAAAGCAUAACAAGCCAAUCAAAGUUGUAGGAGGGGAAAACAAAGUAAAUUAAAAACAUUCCCAAAUAAUAAUAAUCAAAAAAACCCCAGAAGUUUGUUAACUGUUGCCUUAGGUCCAAGGUAGAAAGCAGCUGUCCUUCAGAAACUGUAUUUAGUAAGGUUUCAGAGGAGCAGCCGUGUUAGUCUGUAUUCGCAAAAAGAACAGGAGGACUUGUGGCACCUUAGAGACUAACCAAUUUAUUUGAGCAUAAGCUUUCGUGAGCUACAGCUCACUUCAUCGGAUGCAUUCCGAUGAAGUGAGCUGUAGCUCAUGAAAGCUUAUGCUCAAAUAAAUUUGUUAGUCUCUAAGGUGCCACCAGUCCUCCUUUUCUUUUUGUAUUUAGUAAGUACAGCUUUGCAGGCCGAGUGUAUGAAGCUAAAAAAAAAUAAGUGCAAAAACCAUAAAAAAAAGAAAAAAAAAAAAGCUUAAAGUUGCCAGAAAAAAUGGCUACAAAAUGUGUCACUUUAAAAACACAAGUAAUUAAAUAAAACCUGUCAAAAAGUGUUUGCACAAAUUAACACUACAGAGUUUAAAACAAUUGAACCGUUAAAAAUUGUAAAAAUGUUUGAAAGUCUUUUAAAAAGUAAUACAUUAAAGUGUUAAAUAUGCUUGAUUCAAUCAUAAAACCCAGGUAUGGCAGCAGAACUCGGUGCAGUCAUGCCGACUAAAAUCCUUAGUGAUCAAACAAACUGUGAAAAGGGGAGGUCAGGUGAUAACAACGACCACCCCGGGCAUUUUUCCCUAGAAAGCCUUUAGAGCCACUUCUGUUGUACUUGUUUCCCCAAGAGCUCCAUUCCACUCCAGUCCGGUCGCUUUGGUUCCUGUAUUUGACACACACCAAAGCUCUGCCGAGUGGAUCAGACUCAAGCGUAGAGGGCGGGCGUAGGGCCUACCCCACACCCAAAGCUACGCAGCAAACCGCUUCCUUUGUAGAUGUUUAUACGUUACCUGGCGUUCGCGACACAUCGGGAAUUGGCUUGGUCACUUUGCAGGAACAAAUCCCUCUGCAGCAUGCUCAAUGCACGCACUGUCACUGGACGACUUACUCUUUACCUCAUCUUAUGGUCCAGGCUUCUCGUGUCUAUUGUAGAUGGUUCCCUGGGGGUUCCCCCUUAUUUUAGCUCUUACAAACAUUCUGCUUCCAGCCUGCUGAUUUAUUUAGCUCCCUAAUCCUGUCUCCUGAGAAAUUAGGCCUGACCCGUGUUCAAUUACUCAUGUCACGUCAAGCCUAUGUUCCACAGCUUUUGUUUUUCUUUUUUAUAUUAGUAUUUACAUAAGAACGGCCAUAGUGGAUCAGACCAAAGGUCCGUCUAGCCCAGCAUCCUGUCUUCCGACAGAGACCAGUGCCAGGUGCCCCAGAGGGAAUGAACAGAACAGGGACUCAUCAAGUGAUCCCCUGUCUUCCAUUCCCAGCUUUUGGCAAACAAAGGCUAGGGACGCCAUCCCUGCUCACCCUGGCUAAUAGCCACUGAUGGACCUAUCCUCCAGGAACUUAUCUAGUUCUUUGUUUUAGUUGCAUUAUAUUUUAGGAUUUUUGUGUUUGUUUUUUGCAGUGGACUGCUUAGCAACACAAUUUUAAGGCUACAGUAGCUGUAAUUAUUUGAACCACCAUUAAUACUAGGCUUAAAGUACUAACGAGGAGGUGGAAGAUUAUUACUUCUGGUACAGCCCACCAGGGUGUAAUUCCACAUUACAGACUUUCUUUGCCUUUAAAGCAUGUUUUGUCGUUUUGAUUUUGCUUUUAUUUUAAUUUCAUUUAAAAAAAACCCUGGUACAAUAGAUAUAUAUUUCCUUUUAUUACCGCAAGAAAUUUAGAUGUGAAACAGAACAUAGGUCAAUUCAAUUAACAUUUGCUGAGUCCAUGCCAGAAGUGAUCCUUUUUAGCCCCCAGACGAUGUUUGUUAUCACCAGCAUAGGCAAUUUUUACGUUACUAACAUUUCAGUGUUUUAACCCUGCUGUGCAAUUUGGAGCCUCUUUUCCCAAAGCGAACCCUUGUGCCGGCAUCUUUGUCUGUAAGAUGUUACACCUGCCUGUGUACAUUUCCCAGAUGCAAACAGCAGAACAAGUCUGGGAGUUUUUAGACUUUGUGUUGUUUUCUAACAGUAUUUGAGUAGGGAAAAGAAACUUUUGUUUUUAUACCACAUCAGUUGCAGUGGUUUUACAUUUAACUUCCUGCUAUCAGACCCUUGUCGAUUUUUUUAUUAUUAUUAUUAUGUUGCAUCAACUGUUAUUUUUAUUGUAUUAAAUUUUUAACGUUUGUGGUGACUAAAGAGGACAAGGUUUUUUGCUUCAUUUUACUUAAGGCUGCUUUUAUUUUGUACAGCAUGCCUUUGGCACAUGCGAUUAGAACACAUUGAAUUAAUUUUAUACUUUUUUAAAAGCAAUAACAGUAUGUAUAUUAUAACAAAGCUUUAUUAAGGAGGGUUUUUUUCUCAUUUAAUGACUCCAGUACUUUGCUUCCAGUAUUUUUCUGUUGAAACGAUUGGUUAUGUUUUUACAGAAUAUUUAUGUCACCUUGGUUUUAGAGUAUCAUACUCAUUUUGAACAGUUUUGUGUGUGUGCGUGUGUGUGUGUGUUUGCUUGCCAUCCCCUCCCUGCCUUGGCAGUUUUAUGUUUUGGCAGUAUAUUUUAAAGUAUAUGUUUAGAAAGUUCUUUUAACGGUUUUUAAUGAUAUUUCACCAAAUUUUAGUGGGCAUAAUUUUUGAUGCAGAUUGGUAACAUUUAGUAACACAGACACACAAAUAAACUGAACAUUUUUGUGUAAUAUAUUUAAUAGGCUUUAGCCCUAAAUUAUUUGGACUUGUUUCUCGUUUCAGACAUUUCAGUUCACUUUUUUUUUUUUUUUAAGUUUACAAACCUUUACUAUAUAGUUUUUUGUUUUUACUUUCAUACUAAUAUUUAUUUUACAGUACAGUUAAGCAGAACUUUUGGGAUAGGAUUUGAAUGGUUGGUGGGUUUUGACAUGUUUUUGAAUGCCCACUGCACCCUUUAAAGUAGCUUCAUUAUUUAUAAUUAAUAAACUGUUUAAAAAAAAACAACCCAGAAUUUGGAUGGCACUUUUGAAUGGAAUUUUGGUGCAUGGGCUUCACUCCUUAUGUUUACGGAUUUAUUUUAUUGACGCUGGGUUGCUUUUUGCUUUUAAAGCACGCUUAUGCAGUGUCUAGUGGGGUGCAAUGUAUAUCGAAUGUAAUGUAAUAUGUAAAUGUAUCCAAAGGAAGGAGGUUUGGAUGUGUGAUAUACCCUGUACCCACCCCCUAUGUUUGAGUCUGAUCAACUCAGCAUAGCUUUGCUGUAUGCCAAAUAAAGGAACUUGAAGGACAAAA